rnacentral:rRNA from 1 species
GAUGAACGCUGGCGGCGUGCUUAACACAUGCAAGUCGAACGGAAAGGCGCCUGCUUUCAGGGGUACUCGAGUGGCGAACGGGUGAGUAUCACGUGGGUGAACUGCCCUUCACUUCGGGAUAAGCCUGGGAAACAGGGGCUAAUACCGGAGAGGACGUUGGGUUGGAUGCCAUUGUGGAAAGAUUUGCCGGUGUGGGGUGAGCUCGCGGUCUAUCAGCUUGUCGGUGGGGUAUUGGCAUACCAAGGCGUCGACGGGUAGCCGGCCCGUGAGGGGGGACGGCCACCAUGGGCCUGAGAGACGCCCCAGACUCGUACGGGACGCAGCAGUCGGGAGUCUUGCGCAAUGGGCGCAAGCCUGAUGCGGCGGCGCCGCGUGCGGGAUGCCCGCCUUCUGGUUGUAAACUCCUUUCUCUGGGGACGAAGCGCUAGUGACGGUACCUGGAGAAGAAGCACCGGCUAACUACGUG